CAUGCUCGUAGUCUGCUAUCGGCGUUUUGAGCUUUACGUAUUUUCUCCCCUUCAAGCUGUAACGCUUCAGAUAAACACGCACUAAUGAUCUUAGGGAUAAAGAUAAAAAAGUCCAUCUGUCCCAGAAUAGUUCCUUCUCCCCUUGUUGAAGUUAAAACAAUGACUCCGUGAGAUACAUCAGUAGGGAUCUCUUAAAAAUAUUAAGAGCUUACUGUCAGUGAAGAGGCCGUGCAAGCUGCGAUCAAACCGUACUCAUAUUUUACAUCUCGUUCUGUAGGAAUUCGGUACAUAAUUUUCAAGACCGUUUACAAGUUCUAACGAGAUAUUCCACUUGACAACGGAGGGAGUGAUGGUAAAAAAGAAGGGAUAUAAGAAACUACUUCAUGGCAAAAUGAAAAUAUAGAAACAGUCUGGAUCAUAAGGCCAAAACGUACAAACAUCACAAUUAUUUAAUCUAGAACAACAAGAAAUGCUGGUUUUGUAAACUAGUACAUUGGCCUGAUGAAAGAAGGCUGUUGCAGCAUAAUCUUUGCCCGAUUUUACACGUCUCAGAGCGUA